rnacentral:rRNA from 1 species
UGCCAGCCGCCGCGGUAAUACGGAGGGUGCAAGCGUUGUUCGGAAUUAUUGGGCGUAAAGCGCGUGUAGGCGGUUCGUUAAGUCUGAUGUGAAAGCCUGGGGCUCAACCCCAGCAUGGCGUUGGAUACUGGCAGACUAGACGGCUGGAGAGGCAAGUGGAAUUACCAGUGUAGCGGUGGAAUGCGUAGAUACUGGUAGGAACACUCAUUGCGAAGGCAGCUUGCUGGACAGCACGUGACGCUAAGGCGCGAAAGUGUGGGGAGCAAACCGGAUUAGAUA